rnacentral:lncRNA from 1 species
CUUGAUUUUAAGCUCAUUCUAAGCCAUAAAGGGUGUGUUUUGAUAUCAAAUUUAAUUAUGAAAAUAACGGUUUUCAAACCGUUAUCACCUCUUAGCAAGCGCUCUUUUAACGCCAUUAGCUUGACCUAGUAAAGCUCAAACACCCAUCAGUAAGUGUUGAUAUUCUCCUUGCUUGAUAUUUUUUCUUUUUCUUUUUUCUACUGAAUUUCUUCAAAAAUUUGAUAAAACCAAGCACCUGUUUCCAUGUCUCAAUCAUAGGAACUUUAAUCCCCAAUUUCUUGAAGAUCUCCAUAAUACGCUUAAAUUCCUUCUCCUUCCUAUGAUACUUCUUUGGAUGAGGAAGGGUUUUUUCAUAUGAUUCCUUCUUCUUUCCUCUCAUCCUCUUUUUCUUACUUUUCUUCUUCCUCACUUUUUUUUUUCUUUUCUCUCAACCACUUCUCUUUCUUUCUCUUCAUGUUUAUCUUUCUCACCCAACCUUUAUGUUUCUUUUUCCUCUAUCUUUUCCUCAUCUCUCUCUAUCUUUUCCUCAUCAACAACCUUGUCACUUCCAGUGAUAGUGGCUUGACAUUCCUCCCUAGGGUUAACUUCAGUAUCAACCCCAGAAUCUUCCAGUUUGUAAAUUAACCCAGAAUCUUCUAUUUCUUAAUUAAGCGACUAAGCUGCAUCUCAAUCCUUUUGGAUGACGCUUCAAUGCUUUUUUGAGUGGAAAUGGUAUUUUGCCAUUGAUAGAGAGUGUUGUUGCUACCAUUGUUGUUGUUGUAACUCCUCAAAUUGUUCGGCAGCUUGCCAAAAUUGACUUUGAUCCAUGCUCGAAUGAGGUUCCCAC